rnacentral:rRNA from 1 species
GAUGAACGCUAGCGGCAGGCCUAACACAUGCAAGUCGAGGGAGAAGCCCUUUCGGGGGCAGAAACCGGCGCACGGGUGCGUAACGCGUAUGCAACCUACCUUUCACAGGGGGAUAGCCCGAAGAAAUUUGGAUUAAUACCCCAUAAUAUUAUUGGAUGGCAUCAUUUGAUAAUUAAAACUGCGGUGGUGAAAGAUGGGCAUGCGUCCUAUUAGCUAGUUGGAGUGGUAACGGCACCCCAAGGCUACGAUAGGUAGGGGUCCUGAGAGGGAGAUCCCCACACUGGUACUGAGACAGGGACCAGACUCCUACGGGAGGCAGCAGUGAGGAAUAUUGGUCAAUGGUCGGAAGACUGAACCAGCCAUGCCGCGUGCAGGAAGAAUGCCUUAUGGGUUGUAAACUGCUUUUAUAUGGGAAGAAUAAGGCGUACGUGUACGUUGAUGACGGUACCAUAUGAAUAAGCAUCGGCUAACUCCGUG